AUUGAACGCUGGCGGCAGGCCUAACACAUGCAAGUCGAGCGAGCGGCGGACGGAUGAGUUAUGUAUGGGGAUCUGCCUGACAGCGGGGGAUAACUACUGGAAACGGUGGCUAAUACCGCACACCUUCAGAUGAACUCAUAUGGGAUUAGCUUGUAGGUGGGGUAACGGCGCACCUAGGCGACGAUCCAUAGCUGGUCUGAGAGGAUGAUCAGCCACACUGGAACUGAGACACGGCCCAGACUCCUACGGGAGGCAGCAGUGGGGAAUAUUGCACAAUGGGCGAAAGCCUGACGCAGCCAUGCCGCGUGUGUGAAGAAGGCCUUCGGAUUGUAAAGUACUUUCAGUCGGGAGGCGUUACCAACAGAAGAAGCACCGGCUAACUCCGUGCCAGCAGCCGCGGUAAUAC
rnacentral:rRNA from 1 species